CACGUAGGGCGCAAGCGUUGUCCGGAUUUAUUGGGUUUAAAGGGUGCGUAGGCGGUUUUGUAAGUCAGUGGUGAAAUACUCCAGCUUAACUGGAGGGGUGCCAAUGAUACUGCAGAACUUGAGUACAGAUGAGGUAGGCGGAAUUGACGGUGUAGCGGUGAAAUGCAUAGAUAUCGUCAAGAACACCGAUAGCGAAGGCAGCUUACUGGGCUGUAACUGACGCUGAGGCACGAAAGUGUGGGGAUCAAACAGG
rnacentral:rRNA from 1 species